UAUUCUGCCCUACGGGGAAGGAUGAGAAGCUUUGACCAAGGUUCGACUCGAGCGCCAGCGAGAGAACGUUGCCGCAGGCAACGGCCCGAAGGGCGAGGAGCGAUAGCGACGAGUUAUCCUUCCCCCUCUAUUC
rnacentral:sRNA from 1 species